rnacentral:rRNA from 1 species
CAAGCGUUGUCCGGAAUCAUUGGGCGUAAAGCGCGCGUAGGCGGCCCUGUAAGUCCGUUGUGAAAGUCAAAGGCUCAACCUUUGAAAGCCGAUGGAUACUGCAGGGCUAGAGUCCGGAAGAGGCGAGUGGAAUUCCUGGUGUAGCGGUGGAAUGCGCAGAUAUCAGGAGGAACACCAAUAGCGAAGGCAGCUCGCUGGGACGGUACUGACGCUAAGGCGCGAAAGCGUGGGGAGCGAACAGG